rnacentral:lncRNA from 1 species
UACUACUAGUAUUUAGCAAGUACACGGUUUUUCACAUGCGAAUUACCUGCCUGCUUUUCUGAAACAGAACCAAACAAUUUUUUUUUUUUUUUUUUGCAUUAAAGCUUUCGUCAUGCGCAGCUUUCGGGAGAAAACAGAACUAAAUAAACAAACAAACAAACAAUUUUAGCCUCUGUUUUUUUUGAAUACGUUGUUUAAUGUUUAUCUCUGUUUUCAUUCCUAUUUUCGUGGCAACUUUUUAUUCCUUACCUUUCCUUACUUUCCUUGUUCACUAGUAGAUAUGAUUUUACGUAUCAAAUUCGAAAAAGAAUUUCUCUGUUUUUUCUUAUAAUAUUUAUUUUUUUGGAAUGAAAAACAAGAAUAUCCAUAUGCUGAAGUAAGCUUUAUUGUCAGCAAAGCACCAACCUUAGGCAUGUAUUUCUUUGUUUGUUAGUUCAUACUAGUUUUUAUAUAUAAUCUUGGCGGCUUUUCUUCCCAUUUUUCAAACAUUUAAUGGCUUUAGGUAAUUCCUUUUUUAUUCAAAACGUAUGAUAUAUAUUUGAUUAUCGUCAUAAUGGGUGUUUACUUUUAAUUUUUAUAUGAAAAUCUCCAUUUUUUAAUUCUUUAGAAUUCAAAUUUGGAUUUUCUUAUUGUACUUGUUAAUGGGGUCUUAUUAUUAUUAUUUUUGCUUUUUGACUAUUCAGAUCAAGGAUUAAAUUCUGGACUAGUGUCUUGUAAAACACUUCCUCCUUUGUCUUGAAUCAAGAAGCAUUGAAUUUUCUGAGUUGAUGGAAUUCAUAUAAAUUGUUUUGAUAUGUUUUGAAAAGACGAGGGAAAAAAGAAACAAUUUUGUUGGUGAAUUAGGAAGGAAGAUAACAUGAUUUUUGCAAAGAUAUUAGAAUCAGAAAAGAGAAAUGUGAUUGUGGGAAUUCGAUUUGAUGGACAUAUUAGAGAGUUGUUGAAUUGGGCUAUUGUAAAAGUUGCAGAACCUGGAGACAGAGUUAUUGCUCUACAUGUUUGUCGUGAUGCCGGUACGUCACUAAAAUCUUACUUGUCCUAAUUGAAUUUUGCUAUGUUUUUGCACUUGACAUUGGAACUUUUAUCAUUUUCAGAUUCAAUUUCAAAUGUUAAAUCAUCGUUGGACACUUAUCUGUAUGAUUACGAUGGCUUAUGUAAUAAAAUGCAGGUUGCUUUUUCUUUCUUUCUUUUUUUUCCUUCCUAGUGAUGGAUACAAUUCAGCUUUCUCUAAAUUGUUUGUCGUCUUUUUGGUAAAUAAAGAAAAACACCGAUGGUGAUUGAUGUGGUUUGUUUUUGGUUGUGAAUUUCAGGUGGAUCUUAUUUCUUUGGUGUCAGAAGGAAGUUCUAUUAGAAGAGCUUUGAUUAGGGAAGCAAAGAACCAUGCUGCAUUAGCUGUUGUAGUAGGAACUAGCAAGCAUAGUACUCUUGGGUAAGUAAAACUAUAUACUUCUUAAUUUUUUUCUCCAUUACCGACAGUGGCGGGGGUCAGGAUUUUUACUAACGGAUUCAGAAAACUCGAGGGCAUUAAAGCUUUCGUCAUGCGCAGCUUUCGGGAGAAAACAGAACUAAAUAAACAAACAAACAAACAAUUUUAGCCUCUGUUUUUUUUGAAUACGUUGUUUAAUGUUUAUCUCUGUUUUCAUUCCUAUUUUCGUGGCAACUUUUUAUUCCUUACCUUUCCUUACUUUCCUUGUUCACUAGUAGAUAUGAUUUUACGUAUCAAAUUCGAAAAAGAAUUUCUCUGUUUUUUCUUAUAAUAUUUAUUUUUUUGGAAUGAAAAACAAGAAUAUCCAUAUGCUGAAGUAAGCUUUAUUGUCAGCAAAGCACCAACCUUAGGCAUGUAUUUCUUUGUUUGUUAGUUCAUACUAGUUUUUAUAUAUAAUCUUGGCGGCUUUUCUUCCCAUUUUUCAAACAUUUAAUGGCUUUAGGUAAUUCCUUUUUUAUUCAAAACGUAUGAUAUAUAUUUGAUUAUCGUCAUAAUGGGUGUUUACUUUUAAUUUUUAUAUGAAAA